rnacentral:rRNA from 1 species
UACGUAGGGCGCAAGCGUUGUCCGGAAUUAUUGGGCGUAAAGAGCUCGUAGGCGGCUGUCACGUCGGGUGUGAAAGCCCGGGGCUUAACCCCGGGUCUGCAUUCGAUACGGGCAGGCUAGAGUGUGGUAGGGGAGAUCGGAAUUCCUGGUGUAGCGGUGAAAUGCGCAGAUAUCAGGAGAACACCCGUGGCGAAGGCGGGCUCUCG